rnacentral:lncRNA from 1 species
UGACGGCCACCUGGGACGGCUGAGGAGACGUCACAGCAUUAGCGAGACCCACUGUGGGGCUCUCAGGCCUGGAAAGAAGACACGCGCCACACAGGCCGACAGCAGGGCGGGCCUUUCCCCACACCGGCCGAGGCCCCCGUCCUGCCUGGCGAGUGAAGAGUCCUGAUGUGGCAGUCCUGAGGGCAGGAUGGAGGCCGGUGUCUUACCCGUGUCACUUGGCCUGCGAGGUGCUGGCCAGGAGCAGGUGCUCGGUAGGCCUUACGGGAGGAGCAGCAGAUGGCUGAGUCUCUAGGAGGGACCCGAGCCAGCAUGGUGUUCAUCCUCACUGCCCUGCCCUGCAGUGGAAAGAGGCGUCGGCAUGGGAGACGCAGGGCAUCUGCUUUGAACAAAUGUGCACGAGGAAAGAAAAACGCGGGGGCCCCAGAUGUCGAGGCCGAUCACAGAAGUGACUCUAGGCAACUGACUUGGGACAGUCUUCGUGGCGUGGGCUGUGCUGACUCUGCAGUGACAGCGAGGACUUCCCUGGCCUCUAUCCUGCAUUACGGUGCCUGUCUCUUCCCCAGGAGCUCCUGGGAGGGUGCAUUCCCCCGACCUGGCCAGUGCACAAGGUAUCAAGACGUCAGCCGGAAUCCCGAGAAGGCGGUGCUCUCUUUCCGCUGGGAUUGCAGGAUUUGUAGAAGAUACGCCGAAAACCGCUGCUUACCUGCCGUUUAGUUUUUCCAUUGAGAAUAAAUGGAACACAGACCAAAGUAGGGAUGAAAACAGGCAAAUAGGAAGUGGCCUAGCAAACAUCACUUGCGGCCCUGGAUCCAGCUGUGUCUGAAGCCAGAAUCACUUCUGGAACUUUCUGGGUAUGUGAGUCAGUAAAUUCCCUUAAAUACGCAUAUCUCCACCUACACCACACGCCAAAGCUAGAUUAACCCGGGGUUCUGUGACUUGUCACUCAGAAUCCUGUCUGAUAACGGUGUAUAAGUCUGCGUGGGACACUAAUCUAGAGUGGCAUAAAAGCAGAGGUGGCCAGGUGGGGGCAGGGGUGUGCCCAAGGCUUCACUGACUGCCCAGUGGUGCCAGGGGACUUUGGGGGGACGAUGGAGACGUUCUGUAUAUUGAUUU